AGGAGGAAAUACAACCCUUCGCGUAUUGUUAUCGACUCAUAGCUGCUGUGGCGUCAUUAAAAAAGGUCGCAAAAGUUUUGUAAAAGCGUUAGUUAGUGUUAAAUAAAUACUGUUAGGGGUUUACCGUUGUGAAACUUUAGUUAAAUUCACGAGCAGAUAACAAUGUGACACCAUGGCGGUGUUGAGAGAAGGAAUGUGUCCCGGACUGGAUGCGGAUGUCUUGCGUGAUCUGCGUGCUGCCGAUAUUAAGACAGUGGAGGACGUGGUCUCUUCUGACAUGGAGGAAGUUGCUCAGAGAUGCUCUGUGUCAUAUAAGGUGU